rnacentral:misc_RNA from 1 species
AAGUCGUAACAAGGUAACCGUAGGUGAACCUGCGGUUGGAUCAUUAAAAAAUCAAAAAAGGGUUAGUUGUCGUAAGACACUAACUUCUUUUUAAACAACCUGUUGAACUGUUUAUUGUCUCUGGUGGGUUAAAAAUCUUUGUAAAUUUAUUUUUACUUAAGAUGCCUUAGUUUAAAAGUAACGUAAAAAUUAUUUUUAGCUAAUAAAGGGUACCCACUGUUAAAUUAAAACAAACGUCUUUUAAACUAGCCUAAAUUUAUUAACACAAGUUGAAUUUAAAAACAACUUUUGGCAACGGAUCUCUAGGCUCUU